GUCAUCGGAUCAUAAGUAUCUCUCCACUCGAGCGACACCAGUUGAGGGGCUGCGAUGUCGGCGACCGGCUGACUCGUGAAAUCGAAGCUGUGGGACACCGUUAACUUUCGGAGCGCGGGAGCCGUGACAGCCAGCUGCUGCAGGGACGGACACCGUGGCUUCACCGAGCGGGCAAGGGCCGUGGGGCAGCCGGACGCCUUCCAGGUGGGAAUCGUUGAGCCGGGCGAACACGCCGGAAGGCGGCAUAGCGAGGCUGUGGAACCCUAGUUUCAGGAUGAGCCAGAUCUGGGUGGCUUUCUCGAAGCAGGGCAGCUCAAAGGCGCCGCCGAGGGUAACCGCGUCCCCCUCCUCCUGCUUCCGCGGCGGCGGCAUCUCGAAGAAGCUCAGGUCGCCGGCGAGGCGGCGGGCCGCGAUGGGGAGCCAGGCCCGCAGGGAGCACGCUGAUCCGGGCGGCGGCGGCAGCCGUGCCGAGGGUGCCGAAUAUGUGGAGGAGGACGUCGUCGGGCAGCGCGCUGAGGCGGUCAUCCCCUUCCUCGCCGGCGCCGGCGCCGGUGGGCCAGAGCUUGGCUCGCUUGGCGGCGGUUUCCACUCCUUCCUCGACGCGCGCCUCCAUUGAUGAGGAGUUGGAGUCUUUUCGUUUUCUUUUCACAAAACCGCUAGUUCCUGAGAAAUACAUCUUUUCGUUUUCUUUUCACUUAACCCGUAUUUUCGUUGAAUCUUACAUUUUUAUGUAUAAAGAUGGUUAAACAAGAAUUCAAAGGUCUGAAGAUGGCAAGGCAGACUAUCCUAGUGGUCGGUGGUGAUGUGGAAAAACCUGAAGCUGCUGCAGAACGUGUCAACAAGCAGCAGCAGUAGUUUCGUCUAAGAAGCCCGCGGCUGACCUGGAGAGGGACAGUCAGUUGGUUUUUCUUUAAAAUGAAGUGAACACAUUAUUGUGCUAGUACUGUAAUGUGGACGUACUACUCCUAUUUGACAUCGAAACUUA